GACAGAGGGUGCAAACGUUGCUCGGAAUUACUGGGCGUAAAGCGCGUGUAGGCUGACCGGAAAGUCGGGCGUGAAAUCCCUGGGCUCAACCCAGGAACUGCACUCGAAACUCCCGGUCUUGAGUGGUGGAGAGGGAAGUGGAAUUCCUGGUGUAGAGGUGAAAUUCGUAGAUAUCAGGAGGAACACCAGUGGCGAAGGCGGCUUCCUGGACACCAACUGACGCUGAGACGCGAAAGCCAGGGGAGCAAACGGG
rnacentral:rRNA from 1 species